rnacentral:rRNA from 1 species
UACGAAGGGGGCUAGCGUUGCUCGGAAUCACUGGGCGUAAAGCGCACGUAGGCGGACUCUUAAGUCAGGGGUGAAAUCCCAGAGCUCAACUCUGGAACUGCCUUUGAUACUGGGUAUCUUGAGUAUGGAAGAGGUAAGUGGAAUUGCGAGUGUAGAGGUGAAAUUCGUAGAUAUUCGCAGGAACACCAGUGGCGAAGGCGGCUUACUGGUCCAUAACUGACGCUGAGGUGCGAAAGCGUGGGGAGCAAACAGG